rnacentral:rRNA from 1 species
CUGGCGGCGUGCCUAAUACAUGCAAGUCGAGCGCGGGAAGCAAGCUGAUCCUCUUCGGAGGUGACGCUUGUGGAACGAGCGGCGGACGGGUGAGUAACACGUGGGCAACCUGCCUGUAAGACUGGGAUAACCCCGGGAAACCGGGGCUAAUACCGGAUAAUACUUUUCAUCACCUGAUGAGAAGUUGAAAGGUGGCUUUUAGCUACCACUUACAGAUGGGCCCGCGGCGCAUUAGCUAGUUGGUGAGGUAACGGCUCACCAAGGCAACGAUGCGUAGCCGACCUGAGAGGGUGAUCGGCCACACUGGGACUGAGACACGGCCCAGACUCCUACGGGAGGCAGCAGUAGGGAAUCUUCCGCAAUGGACGAAAGUCUGACGGAGCAACGCCGCGUGAGUGAUGAAGGUUUUCGGAUCGUAAAGCUCUGUUGUUAGGGAAGAACAAGUGCCGUUCGAAUAGGGCGGCACCUUGACGGUACCUAACCAGAAAGCCCCGGCUAACUACGUGCCAGCAGCCGCGGUAAUACGUAGGGGGCAAGCGUUGUCGGAAUUAUUGGGCGUAAAGCGCGCGCAGGCGGUCCUUUAAGUCUGAUGUGAAAGCCCACGGCUUAACCGUGGAGGGUCAUUGGAAACUGGAGGGCUUGAGUGCAGAAGAGGAGAGUGGAAUUCCACGUGUAGCGGUGAAAUGCGUAGAGAUGUGGAGGAACACCAGUGGCGAAGGCGACUCUCUGGUCUGUAACUGACGCUGAGGCGCGAAAGCGUGGGGAGCGAACAGGAUUAGAUACCCUGGUAGUCCACGCCGUAAACGAUGAGUGCUAGGUGUUAGGGGGUUUCCGCCCCUUAGUGCUGAAGUUAACGCAUUAAGCACUCCGCCUGGGGAGUACGGCCGCAAGGCUGAAACUCAAAAGAAUUGACGGGGGCCCGCACAAGCGGUGGAGCAUGUGGUUUAAUUCGAAGCAACGCGAAGAACCUUACCAGGUCUUGACAUCCUCUGCCAGCGGUAGAGAUACCGUGUUCCCUUCGGGGACAGAAUGACAGGUGGUGCAUGGUUGUCGUCAGCUCGUGUCGUGAGAUGUUGGGUUAAGUCCCGCAACGAGCGCAACCCUUAAUCUUAGUUGCCAGCAUUUAGUUGGGCACUCUAAGGUGACUGCCGGUGACAAACCCGAAGAAGGUGGGGAUGACCUCAAAUCAUCAUGCCCCUUAUGACCUGGGCUACACACGUGCUACAAUGGAUGGNACAAANGGCAGCGAAACCGCANGGUCAAGCAA